CAGCAGCCGCGGGAAUACGUUGGGUGCGAGCGUUAAUCGGAAUUACUGGGCGUAAAGCGUGCGCAGGCGGUUUUGUGAGACAGGCGUGAAGUCCCCGGGCUCAACCUGGGAAUGGCGCUUGUGACUGCAAAGCUAGAGUGCGGCAGAGGGGGAUGGAAUUCCGCGUGUAGCAGUGAAAUGCGUAGAUAUGCGGAGGAACACCGAUGGCGAAGGCAAUCCCCUGGGCCUGCACUGACGCUCAUGCACGAAAGCGUGGGGAGCAAACAGGAUUAGAUACCCGAGUAGUCCCUGUCUCUUAUAC
rnacentral:rRNA from 1 species